AACCCCUAAUUUCCCACAUCCAAGAAAAAAAACCCAAAAGCUUAUUCAAUCCUUUGGAUUUUGUGUUGAUUGACUAGGUUUUUACUUUCCCCCCUAAAAUCGGUAUCCUCAAAACACCUAAUUCUUACUGAGCAACCCCUAAAAUCAGUUCUUAAAUUUCAUCACCUCUUUCUUCUUCUUCUUCUUCUUCUUUUUAUAUCUUUCUUUACUUCUUGUUUAUAUAUAGAGAGCUGAAGCCAGUUCUGGGUGGCUUCUUCACUCUCUUUUCCAUGCCCCAAGAUCUUUUGUUUUUUUUUGUAAACAAACCAACAAACCCAAACUCACAAGGGUUUUUUUAUCUUUUCCUCCAACUUCAAAUUUCAACUCCAAUUAUUGCAGGCGUUCUGUGAUGCUUGUUCUUUGGUUUCUGUUCUUUUUAACUCCCUCGGUCUCGCCUUCAAAUUCGCGGAGAUGGAGUACGUUGCCAAGUCAAAGUGGGAAUUAUUGGAUGCUCUUUGCAACUGGCCAUUACUGCUCUGAAGAAAGGGGCAUACCUGCUGAAGUACGGAAGAAGAGGAAAACCAAAAUUUUGCCCCUUCCGCCUUUCAAAUGUCCAAUCUACAUCUGAUGGAGCUGAUUCCACUCUUUCAAACCCCCUGUGCGAGGAGUCUGCUCAAAAUUCUUCAAAAUACUCUAACAGACAGAGGUUUGCUUUUAUUUUCACUUUGGACAUUAACUGUAUUGUUAAUGAUGCUGACAAUUCUAGCUGGAUUUUCAAUUGUCGGCAUACAUCCACCACCUGCCUUUGGCUCAUCGCCUAAUCUUGAAACCCUUGCACUUGAAGCAAAUAAGUCUAAGGAUCAAGAUGGAGAUAGUUCUUUACUUGACAGUUCACAUCUUUCCCGGUAUUUAUUUAUGCCUUAACAUGUCCUUAGGUGAGGGCUGAUUGUUUAUACAAAAAUUUUGGUUAAGUUAGUGGUAGUUUGGUUUUUUUGGACUUGAUCAUCAUAUACUUUUUGAAUAUUAUGUAUUGGAUCUUUAAAUUAUUUAGGAGUGCAUUAACUGAUAAGGUCCUGUCAAAGUUCAACUUUCUUACCUCAGAGCAAUGCUUCACCACCAUCUUUAAUUGACUUCAGUUUUAGGCCCAUGCAUGAAGUUACAUUUUCAACAGAAGACAAACCAAAACUUCUUAGUCAGGUUUGAUUGUGGCAUGUUUAUGUAUUCUAUAUAUCAACUUCUAUAGCAGAGGCUUAAGUCCUUGUUUUGAGCAGGAACACAUGCCCUAUGCCCUAUUUUCGUUUAAGGACCGCCAAGGAAAUUCUGAAACUGAAAGUUGAUUGAUCGGAUGUGUAUGCCAGCUUUCAUCAACUACAUUCGAAGGCCUUAAUAGGAAUUGAAAUGGUGCGCAAAGAGAUUGCUUCUUCUGAUCUGAUUUUUCGAUAUAAAUACUGGACAAAGUAUGGAUAUUUUACUGCUGUUAGUAAAAUAGGAUUCUCUUCUUAGGAUCUUAGUUUCUUCACUUGUAUUAGACUCAACAAUGGCUUGCAUUGCAUUGGUAUUGAUUUUACCAAAAUUUCGAGUUUUACAAUUAUCUAUUUUUAUUAAUUAUUUACAUUUUCUCACUUUUA